GACGAACGCUGGCGGCGUGCCUAAUACAUGCAAGUAGAACGCUGAAGUAGGAGCUUGCUCUUCUGGAUGAGUUGCGAACGGGUGAGUAACGCGUAGGUAACCUGCCUGGUAGCGGGGGAUAACUAUUGGAAACGAUAGCUAAUACCGCAUAAAAUUGAUUAUUGCAUGAUAGUCAAUUAAAAGGUGCAAUUGCAUCACUACCAGAUGGACCUGCGUUGUAUUAGCUAGUUGGUGAGGUAACGGCUCACCAAGGCAACGAUACAUAGCCGACCUGAGAGGGUGAUCGGCCACACUGGGACUGAGACACGGCCCAGACUCCUACGGGAGGCAGCAGUAGGGAAUCUUCGGCAAUGGACGGAAGUCUGACCGAGCAACGCCGCGUGAGUGAAGAAGGGUUUCGGAUCGUAAAGCUCUGUUGUAAGAGAAGAACGAGUGUGAGAGUGGAAAGUUCACACUGUGACGGUAGCUUACCAGAAAGAGACGGCUAACUACGUG
rnacentral:rRNA from 1 species